rnacentral:misc_RNA from 1 species
CGCCUCUCAAGUUUAACUUGGUAUUGAGUUUGUGAUGAAAAUUGCAUUCUUUAAAUAUUCACAGCUUAUUAUUAAGAAAAGCGUUUGAAAUAAAUCGUUUACUCUGAAGUAAUAAACUCGUAACCUCUUCCAAA